rnacentral:rRNA from 1 species
CCUACGGGAGGCAGCAGUAGGGAAUCUUCCGCAAUGGACGAAAGUCUGACGGAGCAACGCCGCGUGAGUGAUGAAGGCUUUCGCGUCGUAAAACUCUGUUGUUAGGGAAGAACAAGUGCUAGUUGAAUAAGCUGGCACCUUGACGGUACCUAACCAGAAAGCCACGGCUAACUACGUGCCAGCAGCCGCGGUAAUACGUAGGUGGCAAGCGUUAUCCGGAAUUAUUGGGCGUAAAGCGCGCGCAGGUGGUUUCUUAAGUCUGAUGUGAAAGCCCACGGCUCAACCGUGGAGGGUCAUUGGAAACUGGGAGACUUGAGUGCAGAAGAGGAAAGUGGAAUUCCAUGUGUAGCGGUGAAAUGCGUAGAGAUAUGGAGGAACACCAGUGGCGAAGGCGACUUUCUGGUCUGUAACUGACACUGAGGCGCGAAAGCGUGGGGAGCAAACAGGAUUAGAUACCCUGGUAGUCCACGCCGUAAACGAUGAGUGCUAAGUGUUAGAGGGUUUCCGCCCUUUAGUGCUGAAGUUAACGCAUUAAGCACUCCGCCUGGGGAGUACGGCCGCAAGGCUGAAACUCAAAGGAAUU